CCUACGGGGUGCAGCAGUGGGGAAUAUUGGGCAAUGGGCGCAAGCCUGACCCAGCAACGCCGCGUGAAGGAAGAAGGCUUUCGGGUCGUAAACUUCUUUUCUGAGGGACGAAGAAAGUGACGGUACCUCAGGAAUAAGCCACGGCUAACUACGUGCCAGCAGCCGCGGUAAUCCGUAGGUGGCAAGCGUUAGCCGGAUUUAUUGGGUGGAAUGGGCGUGUAGGCGGGAAAGCAAGUCAGAUGUGAAAACUCAGGGCUCAACGCUGAGCCUGCAUUUGAAACUGUUUUUCUUGAGUGUUGGAGAGGCAAGCGGAAUUCCGUGUGUAGCGGUGAAAUGCGUAGAUAUACGGAGGAACACCAGUGGCGAAGGCGGAUUGCUGGACAGUAACUGACGCUGAGGCGCGAAAGCGUGGGGAGCAAACAGGAUUAGAUACCCCAGUAGUC
rnacentral:rRNA from 1 species